UAGGGAAUUUUCCACAAUGGACGAAAGUCUGAUGGAGCAACGCCGCGUGCAGGAUGAAGGCUUUCGGGUCGUAAACUGCUUUUAUCUGUGAAGAUUAUGACGGUAGCAGAUGAAUAAGGAUCGGCUAACUCCGUGCCAGCAGCCGCGGUCAUACGGAGGAUCCAAGCGUUAUCCGGAAUUACUGGGCGUAAAGAGUUGCGUAGGCGGCAUAGUAAGCAGAGUGUGAAAUCGUGUGGCUCAACCAUACACCCAUGCUCUGAACUGCUAAGCUAGAGAAUGGAAGAGGUCGCUAGAAUUCCUGGUGUAGGGGUGAAAUCCGUAGAUAUCAGGAGGAAUACCGAUGGCGUAGGCAGGCGACUGGUCCAUUUCUGACGCUCAGGCACGAAAGCGUGGGGAGCGAUCG
rnacentral:rRNA from 1 species